AGUAAGCACACUACCCGAUAAUAGACACACAUUGGUAAAUACUCGGUACAGGGUGCACGGUUUGGUACGCACUGCGAACCAAACAAUAUAUGAAUCAUAUAUUAUAGCUAGGAAAAUAUAUAUCAUUGUAAAAAAUAUAUUAUUGCAUAAACCAAUGGCGUUAAAUUAACGUGGGAAAAAUAUCCACAUAGUCAUAAAGUUGUUAUAGUUGUCUGCAGCUCAGUUCAUUACCGUUAGUUAUUUCACUCCAGCGCGAACAGAGCUGAGAGACCGUCGUAGCAGAAUUUCGCUUAUGAAGGAAUUAGAAGCUAGUUAAAUACAAAGGAGCAACAUGGCAAGCUUUGGCGAGCCAGAACUAGAAGACGCCCCAGUAUCAUGCAGGUCUGCCGUCUGGGAAUAUUUCAGUAUCCCUGUAAACAAUAACGGGGAUUGCCCGACGAGUGGCGGAUAAAACUUCUACAACAUGUAGGCUCUGUUCAUUGCUAAUAGCAUAUUCGAGUGGCAAUACGAGUAACAUGACUACUCAUUUGCGCCGACAUCACCCCGAAGUGCCAAUCGGUGGGACUAGGCGAAAAAAUUAAACGGCAACCACUUGUUCCCACACAGGCCGCUGGCAACAAUAUGCGUCUAACUCCGUUAGGGCUACAGAAAUCAACGCGGCGAUAUCAAAAUUCAUAGCGGCAGAUAUGAUACCCUUCUCUGUGGUAGAGAAUGCGAGGUUCAGAAACAUGUUUAAAUUGGUCGAGCCGCGCUUCACUAUUCCUUCCCCGUACACAUUUUGCCCAGACAUUAAUACCUGCCUUAUACAAAAGAACAACUUGAGAGCGAGUUGUCAGAAACGAGGUCUGUUGCUCUAACAACAGACAGUUGGACGUCUUGAGCUACCUUACUGUAACGGCUCAUUUCAUUAUGGCAGAGUGAGAGAUAAAAAGCCAUGUCCUUCAAACAUGUCCCCUUGAGAGUAGUCACACCAGUGAAAACUUGGGGGAAGAGCUGAGGGAAGUAGUUGCAGUGUGGAAGUUGGAGAGGGAUAAUGUAAUGAUUCCUGUGACCACUGACGAGGCUAGAAAUAUUAUAAAUGCAAUUGCACUAGCUGGAUUGGGGCCACAGAUAGGAUGCUUUGCUCACGUUAUUAAUCUAGCAUCUCAAAAAGCAGUGUCACCUCCUGUUUUCAAGACAAAACAGGAGAUGCUGGAGCUGCCAAAUCACAAACUAAUCCAAGAUGCCACUACUUGAUGGAAUUCAAGCCAUGACAUGGUUGAGAGAUACCUUGAGCAGAAAGUCACAGUGUAUUCUACACUGACUGAUCAAGCUGUGAGGAAGAAUGUCAAAGAUACGGUGACUUUGUAUGAAAAUUACCUAAGAUUAGCAGAGGAAGUUAUCAAAGUGUGCAAACCUCUCAAAACAGUCACAAUGCUUAUAUGCACUGAGAGCAUUCCAUCAGUUUCCAGUCUAUAAAAACAAUGAUCCUGAAAUCAAUGGUGGCAUCUGAUGAAGAUGAACCCGCAGUAAGGGAUGUCAAGACUGCUAUCAGAGUUAACCUGGAGCCUAGUAUGCUGACCCUGGUGUCCAAGACUUCUUACACAAGAGCACCGCUUUGGAUCCCUAGUUCAAGUCCCUGGUGCAUCUGGAUGCUGCUGCUCAUCUGAGAGUCUACAAUGAACUCACAGCAGAGAUUGUGACCAAUAUACAACAGGGCUAAGCCACAGAUAACACAGGAGCCAACCCCUCUCCAGAGACGUUCUCCUCCAGAAAAGAAGACUGCCAUGGCUGACCUUUUUGGGGAGUUGUUCACGAUCCAGGAGCAGGGAACCAAUUCAAAGGUCAAGGUCAUAGAGGAGGUGACCUCAUACAGGGAAGUGGACUGUAUUCCCCUGGAUGCUGAUCCACUUACAUGGUGGAAGACCAAAGAAUUAAUAUACCCUAAUUUUGCCAUGUUAGCAAGGCGCUACCUGGCUGUGCUUUGGACAUCUGUCCCUAGCGAGAGGGUAUUCUCCACAGCGGCUGACAUUUUCACAGUAAGCCGAUCUGUGCUCACUGCAGAUAAUGUGGAUCGACUAAUCUUAAAGAAAAACUUGAAAAUCUAAUAAAAAUGUUUUUUGUUUUGUUUUUUCUCAAGUAAUGUCUCAAGUGGUCCUAUUUAGUUUAAGGCACUGCUAUGUGACUUAAUUUUGAUAUAUGCUGCUGGACUAUGCACUCUUGUUGAAGUUAUAUUUUAAAUGACUAUUUUUUUUCAUGUUAUAAGGCAAGCACUGCUGUUUUUUUUUGUCCCUUUGUUUCCAUAUUCUCCUGGGAAUUCAAACUACCCUGUUUACUACUAUAAUAAAUGGAAAAUCUAAAUACAAAUUA